rnacentral:rRNA from 1 species
ACGAACGCUGGCGGCGUGCUUAACACAUGCCAGUCGAACGGAAAGGCCCUGCUUUUGUGGGGUGCUCGAGUGGCGAACGGGUGAGUAACACGUGAGUAACCUGCCCUCGACUUUGGGAUAACUUCAGGAAACUGGGGCUAAUACCGGAUAGGAGCUCCUGCUGCAUGGUGGGGGUUGGAAAGUUUCGGCGGUUGGGGAUGGACUCGCGGCUUAUCAGCUUGUUGGUGGGGUAGUGGCUUACCAAGGCUUUGACGGGUAGCCGGCCUGAGAGGGUGACCGGCCACAUUGGGACUGAGAUACGGCCCAGACUCCUACGGGAGGCAGCAGUGGGGAAUAUUGCACAAUGGGCGGAAGCCUGAUGCAGCAACGCCGCGUGCGGGAUGACGGCCUUCGGGUUGUAAACCGCUUUCGCCUGUGACGAAGCGUGAGUGACGGUAAUGGGUAAAGAAGCACCGGCUAACUACGUG